rnacentral:rRNA from 1 species
GGGAUACCACUUGGAAACAGGUGCUAAUACCGGAUAAGAAAGCGGAUCGCAUGAUCAGCUUUAAAAGGCGGCGUAAGCUGUCGCUAUGGGAUGGCCCCGCGGUGCAUUAGCUAGUUGGUAAGGUAAAGGCUUACCAAGGCGAUGAUGCAUAGCCGAGUUGAGAGACUGAUCGGCCACAUUGGGACUGAGACACGGCCCAAACUCCUACGGGAGGCAGCAGUC